GAGUUUGAUCGUGGCUCAGAUUGAACGCUGGCGGUAUGCUUAACACAUGCAAGUCGAACGGUAACAGGAGAGAGCUUGCUCUUUUGCUGACGAGUGGCGGACGGGUGAGUAAUGCGUAGGAAUCUGCCUAGUAGUGGGGGACAACGUGUGGAAACGCACGCUAAUACCGCAUACGCCCUACGGGGGAAAGCGGGGAUCUUCGGACCUCGCGCUAUUAGAUGAGCCUACGUUAGAUUAGCUAGUUGGUGGGGUAAAGGCCUACCAAGGCGACGAUCUAUAGCUGGUCUGAGAGGAUGAUCAGCCACACUGGGACUGAGACACGGCCCAGACUCCUACGGGAGGCAGCAGUGGGGAAUAUUGGACAAUGGGCGAAAGCCUGAUCCAGCAAUACCGCGUGUGUGAAGAAGGCCUGAGGGUUGUAAAAGCACUUUUCAAUUGUGAAGAAAUAUUUAACGGUUAAUAAACCUUAAAUUUU
rnacentral:rRNA from 1 species